ACAGGAAUAUUAUAAGCUAGCCAUAGUUCUGCCUGAGCGCACUCUUCGGAGUAGCGGGUAGACCGCAGCUCCGCCUCUUCCUGUUUGAGAAGCCUGCCGGACAGGCUGGCAACUCACUCUUCUCAGCUGUCCAGAGCCAGGGCCCCAGCAAGCCUCUAGGAGCCUUUUAGGCUGUAAAGGAUGAGAGUGUGCAAACACCUGCUCCGGCUGCUCGAUGGGGAGCAUGGAUUCUGGUGCAGGGAAUUUCUGAAAGAUGCUGUAGAGAAGCAUGAGCUGAGUUAGCAGCAUGGAAUGGUCCAGCCCCUGGAAAUCCUCCAAAGCCUGGCGACCAGCCUUCAGCGUGCUGUCCUUAUGAAUUUGGCAGCUCUGCCUCCUUCACAAACCACGCAGCAGCUUCUGCCCUUUGUUGCCAGCCCACUUCACUUAGCACAGUGGCUCCCACAGUGGCUUGUCUGUGUUGUGCUGUGUGUUCACCAUCGUUGCUUAUCCAUUCGGCGAUCGAUAGACACCAGGGUUACUCCUGCCUUUCCGCUGGACACGCCCUCUCCUUAACCAUCUGGGCCUGCAAGUGACUUAUUUCUGCCCCCAGCUCCCAGGAGAACAUGUUGCAGAAGCCCUCCUGCGUACCACCAGGAAAAGCAGUCGCUCUGCGGCUGGUUGGGCGGCCAUUUCUCAGAACCAACGGCGCCUGUGGAGGAGCACACAUACAAGCCAAACUGCUGUGGGAACCGUCUUUUCCCCACUGGAGGUAGUGGAGAUGAGCCGAGCCCCACUGGAGGAGGGAGAAUAGUCCGUCAUUCAACUUGUCCCUUACUUCUGGCCCCAGGGAGCUGCCCAGGACCCCCCUGGAGGAAGAGGAACAUCAUUUGCCGCUGCUGCCACUUCCCAGCAACAUCUGUGGAGCCCCCUCCUUUGUUCCAGGUCCUGGAGAUGAACUAGGAAUAGAAUUACUCCUGUCCUCUAAGUGUGCGGCAGCCAGCUAGCAGAGUGGCCACGAGGAACCACAAGGUCACAGGCCUCAAGCAAUACGAUGGGUCACGUACAGCAACCUGCAAAGUUCUGUGGAAUUCUGCAGAGAGGCAGCUAGUUUUCCCCGACACGUGGCAAAGAUGUGGUCAGAGUGGCGCGUGUCUUAAGCCCUAUUCGUUUCUAGAGGGCAGGGCGACUCUGUCACACCAGAGACAAACCCCUCCCCCCACUGUGCCACAUACCAGGCUCUUUCAAGGCGGAGGAAGGCCAUCUGGAGAUCCUUGUCCUCUUCCCAUAGUGACUCCUGCGGUGACUCUCCUUGCGAACAAGAAAGGCUUUCUGACGGAUCUUCCCUUGACUAAUAGACUAAGCCAACCCUGAGUUGGGUGUUUUGAAGCUGAGUUCUCUUUCAGACACCUGCAAGGGCAGACUGAAGCUUGGAGAUGUCAGGACCACCCCACUGUGGCUUAUCUCUGUGCAGGAGACAGAAGGAGGUGCUAGCCGAAGGUGUCAACUGCCACAGGUUCUUCCAGACGCUCCACUCCGUCACACCUGCUGCUUCAUGGCUCCGACAUAGAACUUGAUGCCAAGACUUGUGUUUCUAAGUAAUUUACAAAUGGAGGCUGAAGCCGAGGGUAUUCCGGGUUGACAGUGAUGUGUGCCAGGAAAUCAAAGCUUGAGGACAGCAGCUGUGCUGCCCAAGACGCUAAGGGCAGCAGCGCCUUCCUCUCAGACUGGCUUGCUCUGGGAAGCGCCAUCUUCCCCGUGGGCAUAGCCCACCUGGGGUGGAGACUGCACCCACCCCUCCUCUCUGCGACUUUGGGGGAGAUUAACUUCACUAAGCAUCUGUUCUACGGUGUGAAAGGUGCCUUUUGCACAAUGGCCAAUAUGAUUAAAUACAGCUUUGGUGUGGAGGCCCUUGUGAUCCUAGGUGUCAGUACCCAGCUGCUCGCAGUGGAGCACCCGGGGCCCCAGCACUGAGCACUCUGAGCUGUUCUUAUCACUGGAUGAUGAGCAUCUAUCUACUCAAGACUUUAGGAAUCCAGCCUCCCCUCCCCAAACCAACCCUCGCCAGGAUCCGUUUCUAACAUUAUAAAAGUUGUGUGGUGCCAUUAUGAACUAA